GUUCAAAUAGCUUAUAUAGAGCAUGACACUGAAGAUGUCAGGGAGAUUUUAGGAUCUUUGAACA
rnacentral:tRNA from 1 species